rnacentral:lncRNA from 1 species
GUGAGGGUGAUCAAAAAAUCGUAUAAAAGGAGAGAGAAAAGGCAAAGGUAAAUCAGUCGAGGGAGCAUCUCCGACACGCCAACAACUGCAGCGCUCUGUCUGUCAGUUCGCAUCCAUGGCAAACUAUGGCGUAGUGCUGCUGUUGUGUGUUGAAUCAUUGAUGGCUGGGUCGACCACUGGUGUACCGAUGUCUUCUUGGUAUGGCGGAUACCAUACCGCAACGCCGCCGCCUUACUACCCAAAAGCAACUUACGCAACGACCAGUUACUGCACCGAGGUCUUCAAGUACUACACCACUAAAGCACUGGACUUGAAUAGCACAACUUAAGCUGCCCCGAGCCACUACACUGACGGCCUGAAGUAUUACUGUGCCUCGAGUUACUACACCACCAAGGCGACGGAGGAUGACUACGCAUGCUGCCCCAUCCUCCGAGGCUCAUACACCGAGGCUCCUAACUGCUACACCGAGGCUCCCGCUGAUUACUACACCGAAUCGGCAAAGUACUACUCUGCCCCGAUCUACACAACCAUAACUGAGGCGGCCAAGUAUUGAGCUGCCCGGACUUACUGCACAGAAGUUGCUCUUUCGUACUACGCUGAACAGGAAUACUACACUGAUGCUCCAGUUCACUAAACCACGGCCUACGCUACACCGCAGCCCCCAAGUACUACACCGAAGAAGCCGCCUACAACAACGUAUGCUGCUUAGUUUACUACACCGAGGCUCCCAAGUACUACAUCACUAAGACACCGGAAUUCUACACGUCUAUGUAUGCUACCCCUGCCUACUACACCGAGACCCUGCAUUACUACAACACUGAAGCGCUCAAGUACUACACUACAACCUGCGCUUCCCCGAGCUACUACACCUACGUCCCGAAGUAUUACUGUGCGUAAAAGGAGUCUUCAAAAAAGAAAGAAGUGCCCGAACUGCAGUGCCUUAUCUGUCACCAACUGCUUUCCUCAUCGUGUAACCGAUUCGCAAUUAUGGUCAACUAUGGCGUCGUGCUCCUGUUGGGUGUUGUAGCUAUCGUUGAUGGCUGGGUCGACUGCUGGUGUAGCGAUGUCUCCUUGGUACGGCGGAAACCAAACCGCAACGCUGCCGCCUUCCUACUCAACUUACGCAAUGACCAGUUCCUGCACCGAUGUCUUCAAGUACUACACCACCAAACCACGGGAGUUUUAUACCACAACUUACGCUGCCCAGAGACACUACCCUGAUGCCCUGAAGUAUUACUCUGCCCUGAGUUACUACACCAUCUAGGCGACGGAUGACACCACAUGACUACCUGCUACACCGAGGCUCCCACUGAUGUCUCCACCAAGACGGUCGAAUACUACACUGAAGCGACAAAGUACUACUCUGCCCCGAUCUACACAACCACAACUGAGGUGGCCAAGUAUUACGCAGUCCCGACUUGCUACACCAAAGCUGCUCUUUCGUGCUGCGUCGAACAGAGAUACUACACUGAUGCUCCAGUCUACUACACCACGACCUACGCUACACCUAGCUACACCUAGCUACACCUAGCUACAACACCGCAGACCUCAAGUACUACACCGAAGAAGGCGUCUAUACACAAUUACACAACUAUGUACGCUGCCUAGCUUACACUUACAUCGAGAAAUUUAAGUAUUACUCUGCCCCGAACUACUACCAAACUGAGGUUCAUAUGUAUUACAUCAGCAGUUCUCCCCACCUUGUCACCACUAUUUACGCUGCUCCGAGCUGUAUACCGAAGUUCUGAAAUAUUUUUUGGAUGUGUUGAAAGAUUGUUGAAAUACAAGAUUGAUUGAUAAA